AUACUUACCUGGCAGGGGAGAUACCAUGAUCAUGCAGGUGGUUUUCCCAGGGUGAGGCUCACCCAUUACACUUGGGGUGUGUUGACCUCUGCGAUUUCCCCAAAUGUGGGAAACUUGACUGCAUAAUUUCUGUUAGUGGGGGACUGAGUUCGCGCUCUCCACUG